rnacentral:lncRNA from 10 species
CUCAUCUGUGUUCUUGGAUACCAUCUCAGAUUUCCACCUCUUGCUGUUCCUGGUCACCAAUGAAGUUAUGCCUCUGCAGGACAGCAUCAGCUUGCUGCUGGAGGCCGUGCGGACCAGAAAUGAGGAGCUCGCCCAGACAUGGAAGAGGUCUGAGCAGUGGGCCACCAUCGAGCAGCUGUGCAAUUCACAGGGUACAUGUGCAGGUUUGUCACCUGG